rnacentral:rRNA from 1 species
UGGGGGCCUACGGGAGGCAGCAGUGGGGAAUAUUGGGCAAUGGAGGAAACUCUGACCCAGCGACGCCGCGUGCGGGAUGAAGGCCUUCGGGUUGUAAACCGCUUUCAGCAGGGAAGAAGCGAAAGUGACGGUACCUGAAGAAGAAGCACCGGCUAACUACGUGCCAGCAGCCGCGGUAAUA